rnacentral:rRNA from 1 species
AAAGAAAAAAGAAAUUCAUGUACGCAAAUAGUGAUAACACAUUUUAGCGGAGUGAUGAGUGCUGGAUAAAUUGCUAGCGGCGGACGGGUGCGUAACACUGGGUAACCUGCCCCUAUCACUGGGAUAACACACUGAAAAGUGUGUAAUACCAGAUAAUAUAAGCUUUUGGCAUCAUUAGCUUAUCAAAGAAUUUCGGAUAGGGAUGGGCCCGCGUCUGAUUAGCUUGUUGGUGAGGUAACGGCUCACCAAGGCGACGAUCAGUAGCCGACCUGAGAGGGUGAUCGGCCACACUGGAACUGAGACACGGUCCAGACUCCUACGGGAGGCAGCAGUGGGGAAUAUGCACAAUGGGCGAAAGCCUGAUGCGCAACGCCGCGUGAGCGAUGAAGGCCUUCGGGUCGUAAAGCUCUGUCCUAUGGGAAGAAAUAAUGACGGUACCAUAGGAGGAAGCCCCGGCUAACUACGUGCCAGCAGCCGCGGUAAUACGUAGGGGGCAAGCGUUAUCCGGAAUUACUGGGCUAAAGGGUGCGUAGGCGGUUUAUCAAGUCAGGGGUGAAAGGCUACGGCUCAACCGUAGUGAGCCUCUGAAACUGGUGAAUUGAGUGUAGGAGAGGAAAGUGGAAUUCCCAGUGUAGCGGUGAAAUGCGUAGAUAUUGGGAGGAACACCAGUGGCGAAAGGCGAAACUUUCUGGAACAACUGACGCUGAGGCACGAAAGCGUGGGGACGCGCAAACAGGAUUAGAUACCCUGGUAGUCCACGCCGUAAACGAUGAGUGCUAAGUGUUGGAGGGUUUCCGCCCUUCAGUGCUGCAGCUAACGCAUUAAGCACUCCGCCUGGGGAGUACGACCGCAAGGUUGAAACUCAAGGAAUUGACGGGGACCCGCACAAGCGGUGGAGCAUGUGGUUUAAUUCGAAGCAACGCGAAGAACCUUACCAGGUCUUGACAUCCUUUGACCACUCUAGAGAUAGAGCUUUCCCUUCGGGACAAAGUGACAGGUGGUGCAUGGUUGUCGUCAGCUCGUGUCGUGAGAUGUUGGGUUAAGUCCCGCAACGAGCGCAACCCCUAUUAUUAGUUGCCAGCAUUCAGUUGGGCACUCUAGUGAGAC